UGUUCCUUAGUGUAGCGGUUAGCACGCCUGCCUGAGGAGCAGAGCGGCCUGGGUUUGAUUCCCAGAGGAACCA